AGCAUUGUGGCGCAGUGGGUCAGUGCAUCUGGCUGUUAAUGAGAAGGUUGAUGGUUUGAGCCCACCCGGGGACAGCUG